GAUGAACGCUGGCGGCGUGCCUAAUACAUGCAAGUCGAGCGAACGGACGAGAAGCUUGCUUCUCUGAUGUUAGCGGCGGACGGGUGAGUAACACGUGGAUAACCUACCUAUAAGACUGGGAUAACUUCGGGAAACCGUAGCUAAUACCGGAUAAUAUUUUGAACCGCAUGGUUCAAAAGUGAAAGACGGUCUUGCUGUCACUUAUAGAUGGAUCCGCGCUGCAUUAGCUAGUUGGUAAGGUAACGGCUUACCAAGGCAACGAUGCAUAGCCGACCUGAGAGGGUGAUCGGCCACACUGGAACUGAGACACGGUCCAGACUCCUACGGGAGGCACCAGUAGGGAAUCUUCCGCAAUGGGCGAAAGCCUGACGGAGCAACGCCGCGUGAGUGAUGAAGGUCUUCGGAUCGUAAAACUCUGUUAUUAGGGAAGAACAUAUGUGUAAGUAACUGUGCACAUCUUGACGGUACCUAAUCAGAAAGCCACGGCUAACUACGUG
rnacentral:rRNA from 1 species